UACUGCUCAGUACACAGCGUGUGGAAUCAAACUGGUGACGUCACAUUUACAUGACCUGUACCACGUGACUCCACCGGGCCGAUAAUUUAUCUGACAGUUGGAUUGUUCCUCCGUUUAUCUGUCCAUUUUUCUGGAUGCUGCAAAUUUAGUUCAGUUUAGUAUACAGGAACUGGCCCACGACGACCAAUCCACUUUCCAGGAAACUCUUCACCUAGGAAUGCUCGGACCUGACACCCAUAAUGUGGCGGUGCACCAUCUUGCUGGAAAAACUCAGGGAACGUGCCAGCUUCAGUACAUAAAGAGGGAAACACAUCAUCAUGUAGCAGUUUUGCAUAUCCAGUGGCCUUGAGGUUUCCAUUGAUGAAGAAUGGCCCCACUAUCUUUGUACCGCAUAUACCACACAAUACCAUCAAUUUUUGUGUUCCAACAGUCUUGGAGUGAUCUAUCCAAUGGGGGUUAGUGUCAGACCAAUAGAGGUGGUUUUGUUUGUUAACUUCACCAUUCACAUAAAAGUUUGCCUCAUCACUGAACAAAAUCUUCUGUGUAAACUGAGGGUCCUGUUCCAAUUUUUGUUUUGCCCAUUCUGCAGCACCUGAAACUACGGAUACUGGAAGCUUGUGCUAGCUUUUCUCCUACGGUGUUGCUAUCAGUGGGUGAAGAGUGGGAGAAGAGGGUUGCAUUGACAAUCCAACAGUCAUGAAAGAAUAAAGUUACGUUAAAACCAAGCACAUUAUUGUUUUUCUUGUGAAAUUCCCAAUAAAUUUGAUGUGUCGCAUGACCCUCUUCCUAUUGAAAAAACAAAAGUUGGAUUCAAAAUGGCCGACUUCAA